UGAGGGAUAUUCGUCAAUGGGCGAGAGCCUGAACCGGCCAAGUCGCGUGAAGGAAGACGGCCCUACGGGUUGUAAACUUCUUUUGCAAUGGAAUAAAAAGAGUUACGUGUAAUUCAUUGUAUGUACAUUGCGAAUAAGGAUCGGCUAACUCCGUG
rnacentral:rRNA from 1 species